UAGUCCUGGCCGUAAACGAUGAACACUAGGUGUCGGGGGAAUCGACCCCCUCGGUGUCGUAGCCAACGCGUUAAGUGUUCCGCCUGGGGAGUACGCACGCAAGUGUGAAACUCAAAGGAAUUGACGGGGGCCCGCACAAGCGGUGGAGUAUGUGGUUUAAUUCGAUGCAACGCGAAGAACCUUACCAGGGUUUGACAUCCUGCGAACCCCCUGGAAACGGGGGGGUGCCUUCGGGAACGCAGUGACAGGUGGUGCAUGGCUGUCGUCAGCUCGUGUCGUGAGAUGUUGGGUUAAGUCCCGCAACGAGCGCAACCCACGUCGUUAGUUGCCAGCAUUCAGUUGGGCACUCUAGCGAGACCGCCGGUGAUAAACCGGAGGAAGGUGUGGAUGACGUCAAGUCAUCAUGCCCCUUACAUCCUGGGCUACACACGUACUACAAUGCUACGGACAAAGGGCCGCAAGCUCGCGAGAGUUAGCAAAUCCCAUAAACCGUGGCUCAGUUCAGAUCGUAGGCUGCAACUCGCCUACGUGAAGGAGGAAUCGCUAGUAAUCGCAGGACAGCAUACUGCGGUGAAUACGUUCCCGGGCCUUGUACACACCGCCCGUCACACCAUGGAAGUUGGCCACGCCCGAAGUCGUUACUCCAACCCGUAAGGAGGAGGACGCCGAAG
rnacentral:rRNA from 1 species